rnacentral:misc_RNA from 1 species
CACCCGUCGUCACACCCGCUGAGUGGGACGCAGCCCGCAACAGACUCCUCAUCAAGGAGAAGGCCAUUCUGCGCAGCCGCGACGCCUUGGCCGCCGAACGGAGACGCAUGCCCUGGAUGGCCGUCGACACUUCGUACGCGUUCGACGGCCCGACCGGUCCCGCCUCGCUGGGCGACCUGUUCGACGGACGUCGCCAGCUGAUCGUCUACCGCGCGUUCUUCGAACCAGGCGUGCACGGCUGGCCGGACCACGCAUGCCCGGGAUGCUCGAUGGUCGCCGAUCAGGUCGCCCACGUCGCUCACCUCAAUGCCCGCGACACGACCCUGGUGUUCGUCUCCCGUGCACCGCAGCCCGACAUCGAGCGCGUCAAGGCGCGGAUGGGCUGGACCAUGCCCUGGUACACACUCACCGACAGCUUCGACGCCGACUUCGGCGUUGACGAAUGGCACGGCACGAACGCAUUCAUCCGCGACGGCGACGACGUCUACCGCACGUACUUCAUCAACAGCAGAGGCGACGAAGCCAUGGGCGGCACAUGGGCCUAUCUCGACAUGACCGCGCUCGGCCGCCAGGAGAUCUGGGAGAACUCACCCGACGGCUACCCGCAGACCGUGCCGUACGAGUGGUGGAACUGGCACGACGAAUACGGCGACACCCGCAAUUCCGACGCGGACUGGCUGCGCCGGAUCGCCGACUCGGGCCAAUCCCGCCACCACGUUGCUGGUGGCAGCGAGAGCCCGUGAUCGGCCACGUUGGGGGCGCGCCCAUCGAGGAACUCCUGCCGCUGCUGAGCAGCGUGGGUACCGCGGUAGCAGCGGUCAUGUUGACUGUCCGUCGAGUCGGCCGCGCAGCUGUGCCUCGCCAUCGGCGCGAACCACGGCGGCAAUGAUGUCGCCUUGGUGGAGUUCGGUUUCGGGUCGGGGCGCGAUCAGUUGACUGUGCCGGUCAAUGCUCAGGACGAAACUUCCGAUCGGCCACGGUGCGGUGGCGACGGUGGUCCCCGCGAACGCCGACGCCUCGGCGAUGGGUGCCUCGACGAGGACCGAGCUGCCGUCGGCGCCGGCGAGCAGGCGCAGCGAUCGGCGCAGCGCCCGCUGAUAGCCCGCGAUGACUUCAUUCAUCGCGACGAGGCCCACAACCUGACCAUCGCCGAGGACCGGGACCCAUGCGACGCCUGCUGACACCAUUACGUCGAGGGCGACAUCCAGACCUUGGUCUGCUGACACGGUCGGGUAGUCGCGAUCGGCCGCCGCGCCCGCGUUGGUACCGGCGUCGUGUGGUUUCUCGUCGGAGGACAUCACACCGA